rnacentral:rRNA from 1 species
UACAGAGGUCCCAAGCGUUGUUCGGAUUCAUUGGGCGUAAAGGGUGCGUAGGUGGCGCUGUAAGUCGGGUGUGAAAUUUCGGAGCUUAACUCCGAAACUGCAUUCGAUACUGGCGUGCUUGAGGACUGGAGAGGAGACUGGAAUUCAUGGUGUAGCAGUGAAAUGCGUAGAUAUCGUAAGGAAGACCAGUGGCGAAGGCGGGUCUCUGGACAGUUCCUGACGCUGAGGCACGAAGGCCAGGGGAGCAAACGGG